GAAUUUUAUUAAAUCCUGCAUUCAUUGUGGCAGGAAAACUGUGAGGAUAGAGUGAAUGACCAGAAAAAAACAGUGCAUGAAAGAUAGCUGCCUCAAUGGUGGAUACUUAAGUGCUAGGAUGGACACUUAUCUGCUGUAUCUACAGGUAAA
rnacentral:lncRNA from 12 species